GUUUCGGUGUUGUUGUUAUGGACCGGACGCUGAUGUCCAGAUCAGCUGUUACGUGUUUGAGAACGGCUGCGUGACUCUCUGGAGGAUUCCUCCCGGAGAAACCCUUCAGGAUCUCCUGGCCGAGCCCAGAGCUGCGGACGAUGUUUCUCUGCUCGUGGUUCUGUUGCUGGAGUUGGUGAAGCAGUUUCAUUCCUGUCGAGUGGUUCACGGAGGCCUGAAGCCAGACUCGCUGUAUUUUUACCUGAGUGGCAUCACAGCACUAGAUUUCUCAAACUCCGUGGAUCUGUGGCUUCUGG